CUACGGGGGGCUCCAGUGAGGAAUAUUGCACAAUGGGGGGAACCCUGAUGCAGCAACGCCGCGUGGAGGAUGUCGCAUUUCGGUGUGUAAACUCCUUUUAUAUGUCAAGAAAAUGACGGUAGCAUAUGAAUAAGCACCGGCUAACUCCGUGCCAGCAGCCGCGGUAAUACGGGAGGGUGCAAGCGUUACUCGGAAUCACUGGGCGUAAAGGACGCGUAGGCGGGUUGGAAAGUCAGGUGUGAAAUCCUACAGCUUAACUGUAGAACUGCACUUGAAACUUCUAAUCUAGAGUAUGGGAGGGGGAGAUGGAAUUAGUGGUGUAGGGGUAAAAUCCGUAGAUAUCACUAGGAAUACCUAAAGCGAAGGCGAUCUCCUGGAACAUUACUGACGCUAAGGCGUGAAAGCGUGGGGAGCAAACAGGAUUAGAUACCCAUGUAGUC
rnacentral:rRNA from 1 species